GUUGAACGCUGGCGGCAGGCCUAACACAUGCAAGUCGAACGGUAGCACAGAGAGCUUGCUCUCGGGUGACGAGUGGCGGACGGGUGAGUAAUGUCUGGGAAACUGCCCGAUGGAGGGGGAUAACUACUGGAAACGGUAGCUAAUACCGCAUAACGUCGCAAGACCAAAGUGGGGGACCUUCGGGCCUCACACCAUCGGAUGUGCCCAGAUGGGAUUAGCUAGUAGGUGGGGUAAUGGCUCACCUAGGCGACGAUCCCUAGCUGGUCUGAGAGGAUGAACAGCCACACUGGAACUGAGACAAGGUCCAGACUCCUACGGGAGGCAGCAGUUGGGAAUAUUGCACAAUGGGCGCAAGCCUGAUGCAGCCAUGCCGCGUGUAUGAAGAAGGCCUUCGGGUUGUAAAGUACUUUCAGCGGGGAGGAAGGCGGUGAAGUUAAUAACUUCACCGAUUGACGUUACCCGCAGAAGAAGCACCGGCUAACUCCGUGCCAGCCGCCGCGGUAAGAC
rnacentral:rRNA from 1 species